AACGAACGCUGGCGGCGUGCCUAACACAUGCAAGUCCAACGUGAAAGGGGAGCAAUCCCCCGGUAGGGUGGCAAACGGGUGAGUAAUACAUGGGUGAUCUACCUUAGGGAUGGGGAUAUCCUUCCGAAAGGAGGGGCAAUACCGAAUAUUGUCCGGAGCCGUGAAGGGUUCCGGGGAAAGGGAGGCCUCUGAUACAAGCUUUCGCCUUAAGAUGAGCCCAUGGCCCAUCAGCUAGUUGGUAUGGUAAAGGCCUACCAAGGCUACGACGGGUCGCUGGUCUGAGAGGACGACCAGCCACACUGGCACUGAAAUACGGGCCAGACUCCUACGGGAGGCAGCAGUGAGGAAUAUUGCGCAAUGGGGGAAACCCUGACGCAGCAACGCCGCGUGUGGGAAGAAGGCCUUCGGGUCGUAAACCACUUUUGCACGGGACGAAAAAGGGAUAUCGAACAAAUAUCCCCGAUGACGGUACCGUGAGAAUAAGCCACGGCUAACUCUGUGCCAGCAGCCGCGGUAAGACAGAGGUGGCAAGCGUUGUUCGGAAUUACUGGGCGUAAAGAGUCUGUAAGUGGUUUGUCAAGUCUUUGGUGAAAGGCCGUAGCUUAACUAUGGGAAUGC
rnacentral:rRNA from 1 species